CCUACGGGUGGCAGCAGUGAGGAAUAUUGGUCAAUGGACGGAAGUCUGAACCAGCCAUGCCGCGUGCAGGAAGACGGCUCUAUGAGUUGUAAACUGCUUUUGUACAAGGGUAAACCUGAAUACGUGUAUUCAGCUGAAAGUACUGUACGAAUAAGGAUCGGCUAACUCCGUGCCAGCAGCCGCGGUAAUACGGAGGAUCCAAGCGUUAUCCGGAUUUAUUGGGUGUAAAGGGUGCGUAGGCGGAGUGAUAAGUUAGAGGUGAAAUGUCCGAGCUUAACUCGGGAACUGCCUCUAAUACUGUUGGUCUAGAGAGUAGAUGCGGUAGGCGGAAUGUAUGGUGUAGCGGUGAAAUGCUUAGAGAUCAUACAGAACACCGAUUGCGAAGGCAGCUUACCAAGCUAUAUCUGACGUUGAGGCACGAAAGCGUGGGGAGCAAACAGGAUUAGAUACCCUAGUAGUC
rnacentral:rRNA from 1 species